AACAACCAAUCGCGUACAAUAUGGAUAGAGCGAGAGCCGUAUUUUUCCCGCGGAGGAGCAAGAAAUAAUUAUUCAAAAAUACAAGGAAUAUAAACACGUCUUUCAAGCAUGCAGUAAUACUGUCUCUGCUGCCAAAGCACGAGAAGAGUGUUGGAGAAAGAUCGCUGAUUGCGUUAAUGCAUGCAACCCCAACUACAAACGUUCUUGGCAGCAGAUAAAGACAAAAUAUAAAAAUAUAAUUCAAAGUGAGAAGUUGGCUCUGAGUAGCAAUAAGGGGUGGCCGAUUAUGGAUGGGAUUACAGGUGCUGUACAAUCUGACCCUGGUGCUGGCUCCUCUAAGCAAGUGACACUGGGUAUGUGUGCAAUGCAUUACUACCUUUUAAAAGUUUUACAUGUGGCUGACUGUAUGUUCUGCAGUAGAGGGAAACACAGUGUCCCUGUUGAAGCCGGCACACGUUCACACAGUCUCCCACACAGAGGUGAGCAUGCAG